rnacentral:rRNA from 1 species
AAUGGGGGCAACCCUGAUGGAGCAAUGCCGCGUGAGAGAAGAAGGCCUUAUGGUUGGAAAUCUCUGUUAUAAGGGAAGAAAGAUAGCUUGAGGAAAUGUUAGUUAAGAGACACUACCUUAUGAGAAAGCCACGGCUAACUACGUGCCAGCAGCCGCGGUAAU